UACGUAGGUGGCAAGCGUUGUCCGGAAUUAUUGGGCGUAAAGCGCGCGCAGGUGGUUCUUUAAGUCUGAUGUGAAAGCCCACGGCUCAACCGUGGAGGGUCAUUGGAAACUGGGGAACUUGAGUGCAGAAGAGGAUAGUGGAAUUCCAAGUGUAGCGGUGAAAUGCGUAGAGAUUUGGAGGAACACCAGUGGCGAAGGCGGCUCACUGGCCCGGUACUGA
rnacentral:rRNA from 1 species